UCCUGCAGCCAUGCUGAACUGAAGACACCUACCUCAUCUUAUCUGAUCUGGGAAGUUAAGCAGUCGUGGGCCCAGCUACGGCGUGGAAGGGAGAUCAGAGUGGAACCCUAGGUGCCACAGACA
rfam:Alligator sinensis unplaced genomic scaffold scaffold156_1, whole genome shotgun sequence